AUCCAGCUGACGAGUCCCAAAUAGGGCAAAACGUGCAUCCUGAAU
rfam:Schistosoma margrebowiei strain Zambia genome assembly, scaffold: SMRZ_contig0000385